CGAACGCUGGCGGCAGGCCUAAUACAUGCAAGUCGAGCGGGUCCUUCGGGAUUAGCGGCGGACGGGUGAGUAACGCGUGGGAACGUGCCCUUUGGUACGGAACAACUGAGGGGAAAACUUCAGCUAAUACCGUAUGUGCCCUUCGGGGGAAAGAUUUAUCGCCAUUGGAGCGGCCCGCGUUGGAUUAGGUAGUUGGUGAGGUAAAGGCUCACCAAGCCUACGAUCCAUAGCUGGUCUGAGAGGAUGACCAGCCACACUGGGACUGAGACACGGCCCAGACUCCUACGGGAGGCAGCAGUAGGGAAUCUUGCGCAAUGGGCGAAAGCCUGACGCAGCCAUGCCGCGUGAAUGAUGAAGGUCUUAGGAUUGUAAAAUUCUUUCACCGGGGACGAUAGUGACGGUACCCGGAGAAGAAGCCCCGGCUAACUUCGUG
rnacentral:rRNA from 1 species